rnacentral:rRNA from 1 species
CGAACGCUGGCGGCAGGCCUAACACAUGCAAGUCGAGCGCGCCCUUCGGGGUGAGCGGCGGACGGGUUAGUAACGCGUGGGAACGUGCCCUUUGGUACGGAAUAGCCUCUGGAAACGGAGAGUAAUACCGUAUGAGCCCUUCGGGGGAAAGAUUUAUCGCCAAAGGAUCGGCCCGCGUUAGAUUAGGUAGUUGGUGGGGUAAUGGCCUACCAAGCCUACGAUCUAUAGCUGGUUUUAGAGGAUGAUCAGCAACACUGGGACUGAGACACGGCCCAGACUCCUACGGGAGGCAGCAGUGGGGAAUCUUGGACAAUGGGGGCAACCCUGAUCCAGCCAUGCCGCGUGAGUGAUGAAGGCCUUAGGGUCGUAAAGCUCUUUCGCCUGUGAAGAUAAUGACGGUAGCAGGUAAAGAAACCCCGGCUAACUCCGUGCCAGCAGCCGCGGUAAUACGGAGGGGGUUAGCGUUGUUCGGAAUUACUGGGCGUAAAGCGCACGUAGGCGGACCAAAAAGUUGGGGGUGAAAUCCCGGGGCUCAACCCCGGAACUGCCUCCAAAACUGUUGGUCUAGAGUUCGAGAGAGGUGAGUGGAAUUCCGAGUGUAGAGGUGAAAUUCGUAGAUAUUCGGAGGAACACCAGUGGCGAAGGCGGCUCACUGGCUCGAUACUGACGCUGAGGUGCGAAAGUGUGGGGAGCAAACAGGAUUAGAUACCCUGGUAGUCCCACCGUAAACGAUGAAUGCCAGUCGUCGGGUAGCAUGCUAUUCGGUGACCACCUAACGGAU